rnacentral:lncRNA from 1 species
GACCGAGAGAAGUUCGAUGUGUACGAGAGAGAGUAGAAGACUUUUGGUCUCAGUUUAUGUGUUGACUAUAUAUUAUAUAAGUGUUGUGUAUGAAGUGAUCUACGAAAGAGAGAGGAACUAAACUUAGUGAACUCUUGUCCAUCUCUUUAAUUUGAUGAGCCAACAUGAUAUUUAUAGAGAAGGUAAGUCGGCUAAUUUUACCCCCUCGUGAAGUAAUUAUUAUUUUAAUAGUUACACAAAUAUCCCAAAAUGGAUAAGCAUUAUCUUAUCUUUAACAC